CCCCACUAUGUCUAGCCAUAAACCACAAUAUCUACCCUACCCAAUAUUCGCCAGAGAAUUACAAGCAACAUGCUUAAAACUCAAAGGACUUGGCGGUGUCCUACACUCCCCUAGAGGAGCCUGUCCUAUAAUCGAUAACCCGCGCUAAACCCCACCAUCUAAGGCCAACCCAGCCUAUAUACCGCCGUCGUCAGCCCACCCUAUUGAGGGCCCCAAAGUAGGCAAAAUUGCCCACACACAAAAACGUCAGGUCAAGGUGUAGCUAAUAAGAUGGCAGAGAUGGGCUACAUUUUCUAACAAUAGAAAACCACGGAAAAUACAAUGAAACUUGUACUAAAAGGCGGAUUUAGUAGUAAAGGAAGACCAAAGAACACUACCUUUAACCAGACACUG
rnacentral:rRNA from 1 species